rnacentral:rRNA from 1 species
UAGGGAAUCUUCCGCAAUGGACGAAAGUCUGACGGAGCAACGCCGCGUGAGUGAUGAAGGUUUUCGGAUCGUAAAACUCUGUUGUUAGGGAAGAACAAGUAUCGGAGUAACUGCCGGUACCUUGACGGUACCUAACCAGAAAGCCACGGCUAACUACGUGUCAGCAGCCGCGGUAAUACGUAGGUGGCAAGCGUUGUCCGGAAUUAUUGGGCGUAAAGCGCGCGCAGGUGGUUCCUUAAGUCUGAUGUGAAAGCCCACGGCUCAACCGUGGAGGGUCAUUGGAAACUGGGGAACUUGAGUGCAGAAGAGGAAAGUGGAAUUCCAAGUGUAGCGGUGAAAUGCGUAGAGAUUUGGAGGAACACCAGUGGCGAAGGCGACUUUCUGGUCUGUAACUGACACUGAGGCGCGAAAGCGUGGGGAGCGAACAGG